rnacentral:rRNA from 1 species
AUUGAACGCUGGCGGCAUGCCUUACACAUGCAAGUCGAACGGCAGCACGGGGCAACCUGGUGGCGAGUGGCGAACGGGUGAGUAAUGCAUCGGAACGUACCUUUCAGUGGGGGAUAACGUAGCGAAAGUUACGCUAAUACCGCAUAUUCUGUGAGCAGGAAAGCAGGGGAUCGCAAGACCUUGCGCUGAUUGAGCGGCCGAUGUCAGAUUAGCUAGUUGGUGAGGUAAAGGCUCACCAAGGCGACGAUCUGUAGCGGGUCUGAGAGGAUGAUCCGCCACACUGGAACGGAGACACGGUCCAGACUCCUACGGGAGGCAGCAGUGGGGAAUUUUGGACAAUGGGGGCAACCCUGAUCCAGCCAUGCCGCGUGAGUGAAGAAGGCCUUCGGGUUGUAAAGCUCUUUCGGCCGGGAAGAAAUCGCACGGGCUAAUACCCUGUAUGGAUGACGGUACCGGAAUAAGAAGCACCGACUAACUACGUGCCAGCCGCCGCGGUAAUAC